rnacentral:rRNA from 1 species
UACGAAGGGGGCUAGCGUUGCUCGGAAUCACUGGGCGUAAAGCGCACGUAGGCGGCUUUUUAAGUCAGGGGUGAAAUCCUGGAGCUCAACUCCAGAACUGCCUUUGAUACUGAGAAGCUUGAGUCCGGGAGAGGUGAGUGGAACUGCGAGUGUAGAGGUGAAAUUCGUAGAUAUUCGGAAGAACACCAGUGGCGAAGGCGGCUCACUGGCCCGGUACUGACGCUGAGGUGCGAAAGCAUGGGGAGCGAACGGG